AAGUACGAUUUCCGAAAACAAUUUCUAGUCCUGAAUAAAGUCAUUUCUACAUUUUUCCAACCCCUAUAUUAUACAAUCAACUGGAUAAAAAACAAAUGGUCUGGUAAAAAUCAGAUAAUCCUAAUUCCCAGUUCUAAAUAAACAUUUCAGAAUAUAAAAAAAACAUAGUGGCAUGCAUCUGUUAAAGAAUGGAAAGGAAACAGGAAAGACUUUGCAAAAGUAAAGAAUAUCAGUUCCAUAUCUUCUUGAUUCGUAUCUUGUAAGAUCCUUCAAAUCCGCCGUUGACCAGUAUACAAACUGUUCCU